rnacentral:rRNA from 1 species
GCAAACAGGAUUAGAUACCCUGGUAGUCCACGCUGUAAACGAUGAGUACUAGGUGUCGGGGGUUACCCCCCUCGGUGCCGCAGCUAACGCAUUAAGUACUCCGCCUGGGAAGUACGCUCGCAAGCGUGAAACUCAAAGGAAUUGACGGGGAUCCGCACAAGUAGCGGAGCAUGUGGUUUAAUUCGAAGCAACGCGAAGAACC